rnacentral:misc_RNA from 1 species
AAGUCGUAACAAGGUUUCCGUAGGUGAACCUGCGGAAGGAUCAUUAACACGUAUCCAACGUUAAACCCCCCGUGAACCUUCAGUGCGCUCGCACUUUCUUAGAAAAGGUAGCAAUCCCUGGUAAAUCAUUGCCGAACAGUUUUGAUUCAGGGACUUCUGCGUAGACUGUGCUUGAGCGUGAGGCAAGUGGCCUGGCAUUCCUCUGCUUGUUGGUGUCUGAAAGUGUCACCAGCUCUGUACGAAUGGCGCAGCCGGCGACCGGGUCACUGGGCGCGAGCCCCCCUCGUCACCUUUGCAUGAAAACGGGCCUGCGCUUAAUUGUGCGGCCACCAAACUCGAACAACUGUUAACAAUGGAUAUCUUGGUUCUC